GCUGGUGCAUUGUGGAAGCUGGGCACGAUUCAAAUUCAAGCUACGCGGGUUAUGGAUGCGAUGCUAGCUUUGGUGGGCUGCACGUGGGAGAAACGCGGGAGAAGAUUACAUGGUGAAGCAGUAAAUGACUGUGCGAAGAAAAUAUUUUUGGUAUUUUUUUUAAUAGAAACUCUACGUCCUCUUCCCCUUUCAUCUCAUCCAUCCAAGCCUCCUUACUACUUCAUCUCAUCCAUCCA
rnacentral:lncRNA from 1 species